rnacentral:rRNA from 1 species
GUCGAGGGGCAGCGGGGAGGUAGCAAUACUUUCGCCGGCGACCGGCGCACGGGUGAGUAACACGUAUGGAACCUGCCCGUAGCAGGGGGAUAAGCGGAAGAAAUUCCGUCUAAUACCGCGUAAUAACUCCGAGAGGCAUCUCAUGGAGUUUAAAGGGUAACACCGGCUACGGAUGGCCAUGCGGCGCAUUAGCUAGUUGGCGGGGUAACGGCCCACCAAGGCGACGAUGCGUAGGGGUUCUGAGAGGAAGGUCCCCCACACUGGUACUGAGACACGGACCAGACUCAAACGGGAGGCAGCAGUGAGGAAUAUUGGUCAAUGGGCGCGAGCCUGAACCAGCCAAGUCGCGUGAGGGAAGACGGUCCUAUGGAUUGUAAACCUCUUUUGUCGGGGAGCAAAAGACGCCACGCGUGGCGUUCCGAGAGUACCCGAAGAAAAAGCAUCGGCUAACUCCGUGCCAGCAGCCGCGGUAAUACGGAGGAUGCGAGCGUUAUCCGGAUUUAUUGGGUUUAAAGGGUGCGCAGGCGGAAGAUCAAGUCAGCGGUAAAAUUGAGAGGCUCAACCUCUUCGAGCCGUUGAAACUGGUUUUCCUGAGUGAGCGAGAAGUAUGCGGAAUGCGUGGUGUAGCGGUGAAAUGCAUAGAUAUCACGCAGAACUCCGAUUGCGAAGGCAGCAUACCGGCGCUCAACUGACGCUCAUGCACGAAAGCGUGGGUAUCGAACAGGAUUAGAUACCCUGCUAGUCCACGCAGUAAACGAUGAAUGCUAAUUGUCCGGAGGGAUUGACCUCUGGUGAUAC